rnacentral:sRNA from 1 species
GCUGGGUGCAGUGGUGCACACCUGUAAUCCCAGGAGCUCAGGAGGCUUAGGCAGGAGGAUUGCAAAUUCAAAAUCAUAUUCAGCAAAAAGCAAGGUGCUGAGAAACUCAGUGAGACCCUGUCUCUA